rnacentral:rRNA from 1 species
UACGAAGGGGGCUAGCGUUGUUCGGAAUCACUGGGCGUAAAGCGCACGUAGGCGGAUCUUUAAGUCAGGGGUGAAAUCCCGAGGCUCAACCUCGGAACUGCCUUUGAUACUGGGGAUCUCGAGUCCGGGAGAGGUGAGUGGAACUGCGAGUGUAGAGGUGAAAUUCGUAGAUAUUCGCAAGAACACCAGUGGCGAAGGCGGACUCACUGGACCGGCAUUGACGCUGAGGUGCG